rnacentral:rRNA from 1 species
GACGAACGCUGGCGGCGCGCUUAACACAUGCAAGUCGAGCGAGAACCUGGGCUUCGGCCCUGGGGACAGCGGCGAACGGGUGAGUAACACGUGGGUAAUCUGCCCUUGACAUCGGGAUAGCCCGGGGAAACCCGGAUUAAUACCGAAUAGCCUCCGGAGCCUUCGGGCGCCGGAGAAAAGGUAGCUUCGGCCUCUGGUCGAGGAUGAGCCCGCGGCGGAUUAGCUUGUUGGCGGGGUAACGGCCCACCAAGGCGACGAUCCGUAGCUGGUCUGAGAGGACGAUCAGCCACACUGGGACUGAGACACGGCCCAGACUCCUACGGGAGGCAGCAGUGGGGAAUCUUGCGCCAAUGCGGGAAACCGUGACGCAGCGACGCCGCGUGGGGGAAGAAGGCCUUCGGGUUGUAAACCUCUUUCAGGAGGGACGAAGCCACUCGGGUGAAUAGCCCAGAGGGUGACGGUACCUCCAGAAGAAGCCCCGGCUAACUACGUGCCAGCAGCCGCCGCGG